UACAGAGGUCUCAAGCGUUGUUCGGAUUCAUUGGGCGUAAAGGGUGCGUAGGCGGGUCUUUAAGUCAGGGGUGAAAUCCUGGAGCUCAACUCCAGAACUGCCUUUGAUACUGAAGAUCUUGAGUUCGGGAGAGGUGAGUGGAACUGCGAGUGUAGAGGUGAAAUUCGUAGAUAUUCGCAAGAACACCAGUGGCGAAGGCGGCUCACUGGCCCGGUACUGACGCUGAGGCACGAAAGCGUGGGGAGCAAACAGG
rnacentral:rRNA from 1 species